CCCUUAGACACUCUAGGCGGCACGCGCGCUACAAUGGGUGGAAGACUGUGUUACUGCCCUCGAAAGAGGGGGUGAAUCACGAAUUCUCACCCGUGAAUGGGAUAGUUUGUUGCAAUUUUCGGACUUGAACUAGGAAUCCCUUGUAAGCAUGCUCAAGAAUAGUGUGCUGAAUACGUCCCUGCCGUUUGUACACACCGCCCGUCGUUUCUUCCGACCGAUACGAAUUGUGAGUUGCAAGGACCUUCAGGGGGAAUUGCCGCGAAUGCUUCGUAUUGGAGGAAGAAAAAGUCGUAACA
rnacentral:rRNA from 1 species